rnacentral:rRNA from 1 species
CCUACGGGUGGCAGCAGUGGGGAAUAUUGCACAAUGGGGGAAACCCUGAUGCAGCGACGCCGCGUGAGUGAAGAAGGAUUUCGGUAUGUAAAGCUCUAUCAGCAGGGAAGAACAUUAAGGUACCUGAUCAACAAGCACCGGCUAAUUACGUGCCAGCAGCCGCGGUCAUACGGAGGGGGCACGCGCUAUCCGGAUUUGCUGGGUGUAAAGGGAGCGUAGACGGCAGCGCAAGUCUCAAGUGAAAGGCCGGGGCUUAACCCCGGAACUGCUUUUGAAACUGGGCAGCUAGAGUGCAGGAGAGGGAAGUGGAAUUCCGAGUGUAGUGGUGAAAUGCGUAGAUAUCAGGAGGAACACCAGUGGCGAAGGCGGCUUACUGGACUGUAACUGACGUUGAGGCUCGAAAGCGUGGGGAGCAAACAGGAUUAGAUACCCUGGUAGUC